AACCUAUUAGCUUAAAUGGAAGAGCAUUGUGUCAUGCACAAGAUGUGGGUUCGAUUCCCAUAUAGAUUA
rfam:Beta vulgaris subsp. vulgaris Bvchr9.sca022.con0032.1, whole genome shotgun sequence.